rnacentral:rRNA from 1 species
GACGAACGCUGGCGGCGUGCUUAACACAUGCAAGUCGAACGGUGAAGCGCCUUCCUUUUUGGUGGGUGUGGAUGAGCGGCGAACGGGUGAGUAACACGUGAGUAACCUGCCCCCUCCUUCUGGAUAACCGCAUGCAAGUGUGGAUAAUACGGGACAUACUGGGUCUGUCGCAUGAUGGGUCUGGGAAAGAUAUUGUUUCGGUGGGGGAUGGGCUCGCGGCCUAUCAGCUUGUUGGUGGGGUGAUGGCCUACCAAGGCGGUGACGGGUAGCCGGCCUGAGAGGGUUGACGGUCACACUGGGACUGAGACGCGGCCCAGACUCCUGCGGGGCGCAGCAGUGGGGAAUAUUGCACAAUGGGCGCAAGUCUGAUGCAGCGGCGCCGCGUGAGAGAUGGGGGCCUGCGUGUUGUGAACCUCUUUCGCCAGUGAAGCAGGCCUGCCUCGUUUGUGGGUGGGUUGACGGUAGCUGGAUAAGAAGCGCCCGCUAACUACGUG